AUGAACGCUGGCGGCGUGCUUAACACAUGCCAGUCGAACGAUGAAGCCCAGCUUGCUGGGUGGAUUAGUGGCGAACGGGUGAGUAACACGUGAGUAACCUGCCCUUAACUCUGGGAUAAGCCUGGGAAACUGGGUCUAAUACCGGAUAGGAGCGUCCACCGCAUGGUGGGUGUUGGAAAGAUUUAUCGGUUUUGGAUGGACUCGCGGCCUAUCAGCUUGUUGGUGAGGUAAUGGCUCACCAAGGCGACGACGGGUAGCCGGCCUGAGAGGGUGACCGGCCACACUGGGACUGAGACACGGCCCGGACUCCUACGGGAGGCAGCAGUGGGGAAUAUUGCACAAUGGGCGCAAGCCUGAUGCAGCGACGCCGCGUGAGGGAUGACGGCCUUCGGGUUGUAAACCUCUUUCAGUAGGGAAGAAGCGAAAGUGACGGUACCUGCAGAAGAAGCACCGGCUAACUACGUG
rnacentral:rRNA from 1 species